rnacentral:tRNA from 1 species
GAGAAGUUGGCUCAGUGGUAGAGCGCUUGCCUCAUAUGCAUGAGGCUCUGGGUUCGAUUUCUCA